UACGGAGGGUGCAAGCGUUAAUCGGAAUUACUGGGCGUAAAGCGUGCGCAGGCGGUUUGUUAAGUCUGUUGUGAAAUCCCCGAGCUCAACUUGGGAAUUGCAAUGGAUACUGGCAGGCUGGAGUAUGGUAGAGGAAGGUGGAAUUCCCGGUGUAGCAGUGAAAUGCGUAGAUAUCGGGAGGAACAUCCGUGGCGAAGGCGGCCACCUGGACCAGCACUGACACUGAGGCACGAAAGCGUGGGGAGCAAACAGG
rnacentral:rRNA from 1 species